rnacentral:rRNA from 1 species
UACAUGUGGGGCAAGCGUUAUUCGGAAUUAUUGGGCGUAAAGGGCGCGUAGGCGGCCUGGCAAGUGGAAGGUGAAAUCCCUCGGCUUAACCGAGGAACUGCCCUCCAAACUGCUUGGCUUGAGUCCGGGAGAGGUGAGUGGAAUUCCCAGUGUAGCGGUGAAAUGCGUAGAUAUUGGGAGGAACACCAGUGGCGAAGGCGGCUCACUGGACCGGAACUGACGCUGAGGCGCGAAAGCGUGGGGAGCAAACGGG